UGGGGAAUUUUGGACAAUGGGCGAAAGCCUGAUCCAGCAAUGCCGCGUAUGUGAAGAAGGCCUUCGGGUUGUAAACACUUUUGUCCGGAAAGAAAUCCUUGGCUCUAAUACAGUCGGGGGAUGACGGUACCGGAAGAAUAAGCACCGGCUAACUACGUGCCAGCAGCCGCGGUAAUACGUAGGGUGCAAGCGUUAAUCGGAAUUACUGGGCGUAAAGCGUGCGCAGGCGGUUUGCUAAGACCGAUGUGAAAUCCCCGGGCUCAACCUGGGAACUGCAUUGGUGACUGGCAGGCUAGAGUAUGGCAGAGGGGGGUAGAAUUCCACGUGUAGCAGUGAAAUGCGUAGAGAUGUGGAGGAAUACCGAUGGCGAAGGCAGCCCCCUGGGCCAAUACUGACGCUCAUGCACGAAAGCGUGGGGAGCAAACAGGAUUAGAUACCCUGGUAGUCCACGCCCUAAACGAUGUCAACUAGUUGUUGGGGAUUCAUUUCCUUAGUAACGUAGCUAACGCGUGAAGUUGACCGCCUGGGGAGUACGGUCGCAAGAUUAAAACUCAAAUGAAUUGACGGGGUCAUAGCUGUUUCCU
rnacentral:rRNA from 1 species